rnacentral:rRNA from 1 species
ACACUGACGUCGCGACGCAUAUCAAUAAGCGGAGGAAAAGAAACUAACAAGGAUUCCCCUAGUAACGGCGAGUGAAGCGGGAAGAGCUCAAAUUUGAAAUCUUAAAGGGUUUCCCUUUACGAAUUGUAGUUUAAAGAAGUGUUUUCUGUUGGAGUUUCGGUAAAAGUUCUUUGGAAUAGGACAUCAUAGAGGGUGAGAAUCCCGUAUUUGACCGUUACUUUCCAGCUGUGUGAUACACUUUCAAAGAGUCGGAUUGUUUGGGAAUGCAGUCCAAGAUGGGUGGUAAAUUUCAUCUAAAGCUAAAUAUUGGCGAGAGACCGAUAGCGAACAAGUACCGUGAGGGAAAGAUGAAAAGAACUUUGAAAAGAGAGUUAAACAGUACGUGAAAUUGUCAAAAGGGAAGCGUUUGACACCAGUGUUGUUUAGUUGAAAAUCAAUUGCAAUAGUUUUUGAUUUUGAAGUAGUAUUGACUUUCAUCAGCUUGCUGCUUUUUUUCUCAGGAAUUAUUGAAUGCACUUUUCAGUUAACAAGUCAACAUCAAUUUCUUUUGUUGUAAAAGGGUAAGAGGAAGGUGGCUUGCGCUUCGGCUCAAGUGUUUAUAGCCUUUUAUCUCCCUGCAAUCGGAGAGAUUGAGGUCUGCAGCGUAGAUCCUUCGGGGUUAGAUACAUUUGUGCUAAGCUAUAGCCUUGUAUAGACAACUUGUUGACUAUGCUCAGUCAUGUAGCUUACUCGCUUAUGCUAUUUUACCUACGCUUAGGAUGUUGACACACGCGCGUGCUCG